UCCUCCUUAGCUCAGCUGGUUAGAGCAUCUGACUGUUAAUCAGAGGGUCCAAGGUUCGAGUCCUUGAGGGGGAGCCA
rnacentral:tRNA from 2 species